rnacentral:rRNA from 1 species
AGCGAACGCUGGCGGCAGGCCUAACACAUGCAAGUCGAACGAACCUUUCGGGGUUAGUGGCGGACGGGUGAUUAACACGUGGGAACGUGCCUUUAGGUUCGGAAUAACUCAGGGAAACUUGUGCUAAUACCGAAUGUGCCCUUCGGGGGAAAGAUUUAUCGCCUUUAGAGCGGCCCGCGUCUGAUUAGCUAGUUGGUUGGGGUAAUGGCUCACCAAGGCGUCGAUCAGUAGCUGGUAUGAGAGGAUGAUCAGCCACAUUGGCGCUGAGACACGGCCCAAACUCCUACGGGAGGAAGCAGUGGGGAAUCUUGAGCAAUGGGCGAAAGACUGACGCAGCCAUGCCGUGUGAAUGAUGAAGGUCUUAGGAUUGUAAAAUUCUUUCACCGGGGACGAUAAUGACGGUACCCGGAGAAGAAGCCCCGGCUAACUUCGUG